rnacentral:rRNA from 1 species
GAACGCUAGCUACAGGCUUAACACAUGCAAGUCGAGGGGCAGCAUGGUCUUAGCUUGCUAAGGCCGAUGGCGACCGGCGCACGGGUGAGUAACACGUAUCCAACCUGCCGUCUACUCUUGGACAGCCUUCUGAAAGGAAGAUUAAUACAAGAUGGCAUCAUGAGUCCGCAUGUUCACAUGAUUAAAGGUAUUCCGGUAGACGAUGGGGAUGCGUUCCAUUAGAUAGUAGGCGGGGCAACGGCCCACCUAGUCUUCGAUGGAUAGGGGUUCUGAGAGGAAGGUCCCCCACAUUGGAACUGAGACACGGUCCAAACUCCUACGGGAGGCAGCAGUGAGGAAUAUUGGUCAAUGGGCGAGAGCCUGAACCAGCCAAGUAGCGUGAAGGAUGACUGCCCUAUGGGUUGUAAACUUCUUUUAUAAAGGAAUAAAGUCGGGUAUGCAUACCCGUUUGCAUGUACUUUAUGAAUAAGGAUCGGCUAACUCCGUGCCAGCAGCCGCGGUAAUACGGAGGAUCCGAGCGUUAUCCGGAUUUAUUGGGUUUAAAGGGAGCGUAGAUGGAUGUUUAAGUCAGUUGUGAAAGUUUGCGGCUCAACCGUAAAAUUGCAGUUGAUACUGGAUAUCUUGAGUGCAGUUGAGGCAGGCGGAAUUCGUGGUGUAGCGGUGAAAUGCUUAGAUAUCACGAAGAACUCCGAUUGCGAAGGCAGCCUGCUAAGCUGCAACUGACAUUGAGGCUCGAAAGUGUGGGUAUCAAACAGGAUUAGAUACCCUGGUAGUCCACACGGUAAACGAUGAAUACUCGCUGUUUGCGAUAUACUGCAAGCGGCCCAGCGAAAGCGUUAAGUAUUCCACCUGGGGAGU